rnacentral:lncRNA from 1 species
CCCUAAAUAUAAUAUAAAAAAUUAUGUCCUAGUAGUUUAGGACAUAUUCUACUAACUUCAACUCCAACAAUGUGCCUUAUUUUCACUAUAUGUUUAAUAUUUUAUUAUUAAAAGUUCACUUUCAUCAUUAAAACAUAAUAUAAAAUAGAGAGAGAAAGAGAGUGUUGGUAAGAAUUUAUUAUAAAAUAUAGGAUAGGGCAAGGAGAGAGAGUGCCUCAAAAA